GGGGGGUGUAGUUCUAACACAUGCAAAUUGGAGCGGAAGAGAAAAGCUUNUUUCUUUUNAGAACGGCGAACGGGUGAGUAAUGNAUAGGAAUCUCCCUGGUAGAGGGGGAUAACGUUCUGGAAACGGAAGCUAAUNCCGCAUACGUCCUACGGGACAAAAUAGGGGACCUUCGGGCCUUGCGCUAUCAGAUGAGCCUAGCUGGGAUUAGCUAGUUGGUGGGGUAAUGGCUCCCCAAGGCGACGAUCCCUAACUGGUCCNAGUGGAUGACCAGUCACACUGGAACUGAGACACGGUCCAGAAUCCUACGGGACGCAGCAUCAUGCGAAUAUUGCACAAUGGGAGAGAAGCCUGAUCCAGCCACGCUCGCCGGUGUGACAGGCAGCCCUUACCGUUGGAAAACCACUAUCACUCAGGAGGAAGGCGCAAUACUUAAAAAAUAAAAAGAUUGACGAAACUCGCCAGACGAGGCCCCCACC
rnacentral:rRNA from 1 species